rnacentral:rRNA from 1 species
ACGUAGGGUGCAAGCGUUAAUCGGAAUUACUGGGCGUAAAGCGUGCGCAGGCGGUUUUGUAAGUCUGACGUGAAAUCCCCGGGCUCAACCUGGGAAUUGCGUUGGAGACUGCAAGGCUGGAGUCUGGCAGAGGGGGGUAGAAUUCCACGUGUAGCAGUGAAAUGCGUAGAGAUGUGGAGGAACACCGAUGGCGAAGGCAGCCCCCUGGGUCAAGACUGACGCUCAUGCACGAAAGCGUGGGGAGCAAACAGGA